CCUACGGGUGUCAGCAGUAGGGAAUAUUGCUCAAUGGGGGAAACCCUGAAGCAGCCACGCCGCGUGUAGGAUGAAGGUUUUCGGAUUGUAAACUCCUUUUGUUAGAGAAGCUAAUGACGGUAUCUAACGCAUAAGCACCGGCUAACUCCGUGCCAGCAGCCGCGGUUAUACGGAGGGUGCAAGCGUUACUCGGAAUCACUGGGCGUAAAGAGCGCGUAGGCGGGAUAGCAGGUCAUAUGUGAAAUCCUAUGGCUUAACCAUAGAACUGCAUUUGAAACUGUUAUUCUAGAGUAAGGGAGAGGUAGGCGGAAUUCGUGGGGUAGCGGUAAAAUGCGUAGAGAUCAAGCGGAA
rnacentral:rRNA from 1 species